CCAAUGAACCAAAUGCCCUGAAGGAAAAUAUGUUAGAGAAUCCAAACAACAACUGCACACCAGAAUGAACGCACACCAAAAAUCUAUCAAAGACAAGAAUACCCAAACACC